AAACAAAUAGCUUACGUAAAAGCACUGCACUGAAGAUGCUGCGACAGGCCCAGCCUUUUGUUUA
rnacentral:tRNA from 1 species